rnacentral:tRNA from 1 species
GAAAAAGAAUACAAGAACUGCUAACUCAUGUAUCCAUAUUUAAAAAUAUGGCUUUUUCA